rnacentral:misc_RNA from 1 species
GAUGAAGAACGCAGCGAAAUGCGAUAAGUAAUGUGAAUUGCAGAAUUCAGUGAAUCAUCGAAUCUUUGAACGCACAUUGCGCCCGCCAGUAUUCUGGCGAGCAUGCCUGUUCGAGCGUCAUUUCAACCAUCAAGCCCCAGGCUUGUGUUGGAGCCCUGCGGCUGCCGCAGCCUCCCAAAACCAGUGGCGGGCUCGCUAUCACACCGAGUGCAGUAGUUUACUCUUCGCUCAGGGCGUGUGGCGGGUGCUAGCCGUGAAACCCCCAACUUCUCAAGGUUGACCUCGGAUCAGGUAGGAAUACCCGCUGAACUUAAGCAUAUCAAUAAGCGGCGGA